AAAAAUAACUCCUCCCGUCCUGAAAAGGCACUAGCCGCCUCCCCAACCCCAACUCGUCGAAACCCCAGCACCCCAUGACCUGAUCGAUCACCGAUGGCGUUCGGCGAGGUCAUGUCCUAGGCCUCAUCCUCGGCCGCCCUGACAGCGGAUCGAAUCAGCAUAGUUGGCGCGUGGGACGGCUCCCUGGAGGUGUACCUGGGCGCCUGGACGGGGCUGAUGCUGUGCGCCGAGGUGGUGCGGCGGGCCGGGGUCCUGGCGCAUGCCGUGGCGAGCUAAUCUCAACGUGAUGCUGCUCACUAGCGCGGCAUCAUGCCACCUGGCCGGUGCUGCAGCGACGUGGUUAAGAGGGACGUGGAUGAGGCAGAGUCUACGCUCGGCGGCGCAGAGAUCUGGAGGAUACAUGAUUCUGUGGACACAGCGGCGGCGUGGCCCCGUGGAGCGGCAUGUUGAUUUUCUUGGGGGUAGGUUUUUGCUGUUGGUGACCUUUUAAGAAAUUUAAGAGAUCCAGUGCAGGGAGAGAUGCUAUUGAGUUGGAAGACCAGGUGGAUUUGAAGCUCAUUGGUCAACAUUCAGUCAAAUUUCAUGUUGAACAGGUACGUCCAUGAUGAUCUGGUGCUUCUAAUCUUUCUUGCCUAUAGUUUAGAUCUUAAGCCUCUCUUACUUUGUCCAAUAUAGUUAGUCUGCAUAUGAGAACACACGUAUGUCAAUGGAUAAGCAAUUGAUCUCUAAUCAAUCAAGGUUUGCAAACUCAUCCAGAUCUCAAUCUUAAUGGUUCAAGAAUCAACAUUUACACUUUAAAGUGUAUUCAUUGACCAAUUCUUUUUGAAAUAUGCAUCGGGGCCAUCGAAGGCAAGAUGCUUAUGUUAUGUUUUUAUUCUGAUGACAACUCAUCUUCUUUGCCUGUUGGUAGCUGCUCAUGAGAAACUAGGAUAUAUUUUUACUGCUUUAGAUGCAAGCAUCUUCUUUUCCAUGGGCCUGCAGGGAUUUGUUUGGAAAUUAAGUUGAAGUUAACGACAUUUGUUGUUCUGCAUGGGCAGGGAUGCAGAGUAAUAAAUAUUUCUAAUAUAAGUACAUCGGCCAUUUAACUAUCUCUACUAUUAAAGAGGGAUCGAACGUCGUGAUGGUUCGACCUCCUCUCGUGGUUCAACCCCCUUCUAUCGCUAGCUAUCGAAAGUCCUCCCACCGCUUCUUCCAUCCCCGCCCGAAAAAAAGGCCAAAAAAAAACCACAACCCACGAACGCACGAUCCCACACCCACGCAGCCUCGUCGCCUCUCGCACCCCAUGGCACCCGAUCCCGUCUCUCUCCCGGCUCCUGAGAAAAAAUGUCUCCUGCUGUCGCCUCCUCAUCCGCCCCGCGGUCGCGGUCCUGGCCGUCGGCGCUAGGAUCCAGUCCCAUGAAGAAAUUCUCUACUCCUCCCUCUUAUCUGUACCACUCUAGAUCGCGUCCAACCAACGGCGAGCUUGGCGACAGCGCAGAAGGAGAGCGUCAGUAUGUCGGCGCUAGAGUACUAACCCUGGGGGUGGUGUGCCCCUAUCCCGACCCCUUGCUGCGAUCUUGAGAGCCAUCAUGCCGUCGGCGCCCAUCGCGAACAAUUAAGGCUCCUCCGUUGGGGUAGUGGUUGCAGAGGCUGGUGAAGAGCCUCAGCCGUGAUGAGGAUGAUGACGCACAGCGGGGGCGGGAGCAGAACCACGGGGAGGGUUCCAAGGAGCCGCUAGCCGGGGGCGGAGCGCGAGCACGGGUACGGGUCCGAGAGCCGCUGGCUGCCCACGAAGACAUCGUGGCGGUGCUCCAUGGUGCGAACGAGCUAGAUGAGGCAGCGGCAGUCCCCCAUGGAUGAUGUGAGGGCGUGGUAUGGGGAUGGAUUUUGGGGGAUCUAGCUGCUGAUUGGUUCAUCCACUAACUGAAACUGAUUAUAGUUUAUCUCUAGUUUGUGUUUCUCUGUGGUACACUCGUGUUGCAAUUGGCAGGACCAAAUUGGUAGCGACAAAGCACGAGCUACCAACCUUCUCUGCUCCCCUGCUACAACAAGGUACCAAAUUGAAGCUGUCACCGCGACCCCAAUCCCCUCUCACGUGCAGUAUGAUGGACACCCACAAGGCUGAGAAGUCAGCGCAACAGAGCUUAUGCAGGCGGACGCUAAUCCGCAAUCAAGAGAAGAUGACUGGCUGGUGCAGUGCUGAUGGGAGGUAGAUGACCACGGUGGAGAUGGUGGAGAGGAGCAGAAAAUGCAUGGUAAACUUGCUCCAUUGUGCUUGCACUCAAGGGGCAUCUAUGCCAACAGCAUCACGUGUGUCUAAAGCAGGGGGCUAGGGGAAACCAAUCAACAGGUGAGUUAGAUCCUUUUUAGUUUCAGGCCACCAUUUUAGGGCAGAGAAGAGUAGCAAAACUCAUGGUAUUGUUGCUGUUAACAGAAACAUGCAUUUUUUUGUUAAUAUUUGUACACACUAACGAUUGCAUGUUUUUUUUGUGCCAUCCUAAUGUAAGAACUGAAGCAAUAGCCCCUUUCAUGUUCUAUUUUUUCUCUUUUCAAAUAUCACAUUUUCUAUCAGCGUACAUAUAUAUGCAAUGUGUGGUUAUUACAAUUAUUACAGGUUGUUUGGUUAUUAGCUAGCAAUCUGUGGUAGUAAUUGCACUUCUGCCAAGUACAGGGUAAUGGCUAGAACAAGCAUCAAUUGUGUAAAUUAUUGAUCAAUCUUGUCUGGUCGUAGGGUUCCUAAUCGACGUUAUCAGGUAUCUUAUUCUGUCGCCUCUGCUUACUUUCACCCUAAGCGAGAAGAUUACCUCAAAAAUUAUUCCAGUAUUGUAGAGCUUCUUAUAUUUUUCUUCCUUUGGGCAUAGACAAGCAUUCACAAUGAAUACUAUUAUAUGGAGUACAUGUCUGCAGUUAGGAUGGAUCAUCUGGUUAGUAGACAAAAGUUCUGGUUUCAGUGUUAAUUUCCUAAGUGUAUCAUCAUUAUCGAUGAUUGGUUACCAAAGGGCACCCCUCUUUUGUACUCACAUGAUUAUCUUAAUGCAAAGAAUUUUAUUUUUUCAAAUGAGCCACAGAGCCAAAUGAAAAUUCCAUGAACGAAUUGAGGAUGGAAAAUGUCAACCUUAUUUCUCCAGGGGAUGGAGUGGAGAUUGAGAAACAUAGCUAGAUGGGAGAAACGGGAAAACUUUGAUAAAUUGUUGUAUGGAAACAUAGCUAGAUGUACAUACAUUUACCCCAUGGACAAUUGAGAAACAUAGCUAGAUGGAAGAAACGAUGACAAGUAUAUUGUAUGGAAAAGAAAACAUAAGCCAAUAUUUUAUGGGAAUGGUGCUCUAAGCAGAGAGGUUGUUAGGGCUACGGGAGGGUGACGACCCUCUCUUGAACUGAUGAUGAGGGAGAGCAAGGCUGAUUGUGCAUUCAACGAUGAUGGUGAGACAACUAGCGCUUCAUAAAAAUAUCAUGUUCGGAAUCUUUGGCCAGAUCGGCUGUGACUGCAUUUUAGCGAUGGACCUUUGUUGUAUUUCAGUUUCCUCAUACUGUUAUCGCAAUAUAGUAAUAUGCUCUUUUGCAGCAAGUGCAAAUGGUUAUAUGUUUGAAUCAUCAACUAGCAUGUCAAGAAUGUGAGAAGUCAGUGGGAACAAAAAACUAUCAUUUGUGAUAGUUGUUGGAUUGAAUAGCCAUUUCAUUAUGGGUAAAUGCUCCUUCGCCAAGUAUAAGUAUACAAUUUGAAUCUUUUAGUCACGAUUUGUAUGAUGCCUUAUACACAUUUAUGUUAUAUACAGUUGUAGCUGAAUUUUUAGAUGAUAUACUGAACUAUAUGCUAGGGCAAGGAAGCUAGGGACGAAAAAAGGGAAGUUACUGUACUAGAGGACCAUAGGAAUGUGAUAUUUGACGAAACACUAAAAAAUCUGAGCCAUGCAGCUUUGGUGCAGUGUCUAGAAGACAUAAUGGUUAGAAAUCAGUUCGCACAUCUAAAGGUGAGGAAAUCUCACAUUUAUCAAUUUAUGGAAGGGGGCAGAUAUUUGCAUUUAAAUGUUUUUUCUCAGUAUAGGAAUAAUAAGGGUGAUGUAGCAUUGUAGUUUCAAAUGAAGUAAUGUUAUACUCCCUCUGUAAAGAAAUAUAAGACUGUUUAGAUUAUUGCCUAUUAUUUGAUCUGUCAUUUUCUGUGAAAUAGUACUUCAUUAUGAUUCGCUACAUAUUGAAUUUUCUUGGUGUUAAUAUUAUGUUUGUAAAGAAGUGUGAUCACUAUAUGGUCUACUGAUUUGAACUAUAAUCAGUUUUACCUUACCAGAUUUAGGUUUUGACAGCUGGAAAGUUGCCACAUGAGUUCAAGUCGCGUGAGGGUUAAAUUAAGUGCACAUAUUUUCAUCUCCAUGAGUUUCAUCUGACAAGUGGCAACAGGUUGGGUUCACAUUUUAUAACGUUGUCUUCGUAAUUUCUUGCAGAUGGUAGAGCAAAAUCAAUGAGAAGCCGUGUUGAAUGCUAUUUUGACUAGCCGCAGAAAGAAAAGGAAAGGACAACUUGUUGUAAACCUACAGAUACAAUAUCUGGAAAAUUAGGAUUAACUCUCCACCAGUAUUAUUUAUCCAUUUGGUUAGUCAUUAUCAUGCGAUCGGUAUAGAGCCACCAGAUAUGUUUUUCAAGGUUUGUUCUUUUAUAGCUGUAUCUUCUUGCACACAACCACUUCUUUAAAGGGCUUAGCUUAAGCUGAUUGGUUUCUUGUAUGAACAUUAGGAUUUUACAACAUUAGAUUCAAUUCUAUGACGGAGCUUUUGCCCAUAGAAGAUGCUUAAGCAGUAGGUUUUGUACAUUUUUUCAUCCUCUCAUGUAACUGUAUAUAAUAUUCAAUUCUACUAUGAAUACUGGGUACUACAAUUUGUAUUUA